rnacentral:sRNA from 1 species
AACGUAACGGAAGGAGGUGAUCCAGUGUCUCAUUGUCUCAUGCUGCGGGCCCGGACCUGGACUCGCGCCUUUGAGGUUCUCGCCUCCUAAGGUGAUCAGGCAUCGCGCACCGCGGUGUGACAAUGGAAGGGCUGUCCUAUCGGGCGGCCCU